AGGGAUCGAAACUGGUCUUUCACAUCUCCUGCACUGGCAGGCAAGUUCUUCACCACUAGCACUACCUGGGAAGCCCAUGAAGCACAGGGCUUCCCUGAUGGCUUGGUGGGUAAAGGAUCUGCCUACAAUGAAGAAGACCUGUGUUUGAUCCCUGGAUCGGGAAGAUCCCCUGGCUUCCCAUGUGGUUCAGCUGGUAAGGAAUCUGCCUGCAAUGUGGAAGACCUGAGUUUGAUCCCUGGGUUGGGAAGAUCCCUUGGAGAAGGGAAAGGCUACCCACUCCAGUAUUCUGG
ensembl:lncRNA